ensembl:lncRNA
UUUUUUUUUUGGUAGCAUGUUGUACAGCAGAUGUUCUGGGCUUGCUCCAAAAAGGCAGAUAAUAGCAUGCAGAUGCAGGGAGUUCUGACACCAAAACAGAUGUGAUCUGAAGUUUGUAUGCUUGAAACCAAAAACAAUUAAAAUGUAUAAAUACAUAUCUAUGUAUUGACUAUAAGUCUGGAUUACUUUUUUUUUGGCUGUUAUACAGAUUUUCCAUAAGAUAAUGUAAGAUAAGUGACACCCUCUCAAACUAAUCACAGAAGUGCCAAGCUUUUUUUUAUUGUUAUUAUUUUUAACUAUAGCUACUUUUUUUCCUAAAUCCUGUGAACUAAAAACUUAAAUAAGCCUUAAAAUACUCACAAAAAGUCAAAAGCUUGGACGGAGUUCUUCCUCUCCUGCCUUCUGCCCACCCACCCAUAAUGGGCUUGCAAAGGUGACUGACGUUUCUGACCCACUCCCUGUAUCUCUUUGAUGCAUCUCGCUUUUCAAAGCAUAAUGCAAAAUCAGUACUUUGACCCUUGGCUGCUGAUGGCUAGUUACCAUCACAGAGCGUGCAGAAUCCCACGUAAUCUCAGGGGGUCGUGCACCGUAAUGACUCGUAGGCACACCGUGUGCACAAAGAUAAGAGCUUUGCAGGAAGCGCUGGUACCCGCGCUGUUCCUCUGGGCCUGCCCAGCUUGAGAAAGGUAGGAAGGUGUCUAGUUUAGGCCUCCCUCCCAAGUGCAGAGCUGUGCAGUCUGGCUUACCCUCUUCACCUUGAUUUAAAACUUAGGUAAUUCGGUUUGCAUAAGUGAAGUGACCUGAUGAAAAUCUCAUUGCUGCAUCUGAUAAUCAAGUUUAAAAGUUGUGUUGGGUAUUAGUAACAACAGAAGUCCAGUUACAACUGCUUACUCCAUCUUUGUUUAGUGGAAAUCCAUUUCCUGAGUUAACUUUAAGAGCCAAAACAGUAAGAAAAUGCUGCAGAUUUCCUGUGACUUAGAAAUCUCAUUUCAAUUAUAUUUCUUAUUAUGAUAAUGUUCAAUCCAACAGUUUCACAGAGAACUACAAUACUGUCAUAGUUUAAGCACCCGGGACAGAUAUAUUGUUUUCGUUGACAGUUAUUAUUAAAUGGUUUUAAACAGCUUUAACAUAAUCACAUUAACACUUACUACGUUAUGAGUUAAAGGUGCUGCACACAGGUAGUCACCAAUGAUAUGUGUUAUAAAUCUUAUCCUGAAAAAUCCCUGCCUGGCUUCAAGCAGGAGGAAGUUAGUGACAAUACUUUCAUGGCAAACCAAAAAUACUUGCAGCUGUAUUAUUGUCCUCAAAAAGUACUUUGCUUGGGAACAUAAUCCCCAAGUUUGUUAGGGUUCUGCUUCUAAAGCAAGAGUAACCCAUAACAGAAACACUAGUGGUUACCAAAAAUUAAAGUAAGUAAAAUCAAGUGGCUAUACAUAAACUACCUGUGUAAUAAACCUUUGAGAAGCGCUUCACAAACAGCAUUGUUAGUGUGUGAUGUGAUGUUCUAAAUCAGACCACAGUGGUCCCCAGCUACUAUGUACAUAUGUUCAGUGCUGGAGUAACUUUUUGAUUUACACCAGCGGUUUCAUAAAGAUUAUGAUUUCCUGACUGACUUUAUGCUCCACUCAUCCACUGUGGUGCGUAUGUGAAAAAAUACAUUCGCCUUCUGCCCUGCUCGUACACGAGGCUGGUGGCAGCACUGCUUGAACAGACACAGGCAUGAGCACUUUCUGUGGUGGCAGACAGGUAAAACAUGGGGUUUGGUAGGCGUUGAUUUCUACAUCCUGCCUUUGCUGUGCUUUGGGAAGUCUGUGUAGUGUUCAUCGCAAAGCAUCAUCAAAAGAAGAGCUGCUCAGCACUGCCUCCACUUCAUCCACUCUGUUUGCUCCAUUAUUUACCUAUUCACAUGGACAAGAAACUGCGGUAACUAUUGCUUGUUCCAGUUUGCUGCAUGAUCUCAUUGAUUUGACCCGAUCCUCCUAAAAGAGAAGUCUGCCUGGCAACUAACAGCCGUAUAGGUGCAUGUUAAAAGAAACAGAUUACUUAUGGCUGGAGUUUAACCAAUUUUUCUUACUAUGCAAAGAUGGGUAUUGCACAAACAAAUUUAAGACAAAUGUCUGAGGAAAUGCCAUAGAAUACUUGAAGUUAUGUUUUAAGCCUACUCAGUCAUGUUUUAUAUUCAUUAUUGCUUCCACUGUUACUCUUCCUUUUGAAAAUGAUUUGUAAUUAUUUUUUUAAGUGCACAACUUGAUGUUAUAAAUCAAGUUUUUGUUUCAAGUUAAUACUCAUUCAUAUCUUGUUGGCUGCUAAUGAAUGGAAAUUCAAUAGUCCUUGUUCUGCAUCUUAGCAAGAUGAGUAUUAAAAACGUCAUGAACGUGGAAUGG